UAAGGGUUUCCAGCUGUUGUUGUCUCCGCUCAUAUCUCCUUUGUUGGGGUGUUAUUGUUUGCAUGCUCUCUGGCUCCGGGCUUGGCUCUGACCCCAUUUCUCCUGUGCAGCCUCUGACGGCCCCCCGGGAUCUGCAGUCCCAACUUGGCCUGCCUCUGUUUCUUCCUGUGACCCAACAGCUCCUCUGGUUUAAAAACUGAACAAACAGGCAUCAAGGCACAGCAAUAAUUUCUCAAAGACUAAACUGGCUGUGGUUCGUCUAUAUCAGAGCUUUCACUGCCACCCACUGGCUUCAACAGGAACAGCAUGCUUGCUGCAACUUAAGUUGAAGUCCUUCUUAAAUCUAUGGUGGAGGACAGAUUGGAGCCCGAUAUAGAGCUGACAGG